rnacentral:lncRNA from 1 species
CUUAUGUGGAAUGCACCGAAGCCGAAUUUUCUGUAGGCGACGUCGUGAAUGACGAUGGCAAGUUGAUAGGUAUCAACGUGACAUACUAUCCCAAUGCCACUUAUUUAAAUAAACAAACAAACAAAACCUGAUCUCCCAUGUCAAAUAAUUAACAAACAAAAUCUCUAUAAGCUAGAGAAAAAAUUUCCCCAAGAUGGACUUGGAAUCCAAGUUUAAGAAUUUAUUAGAACAGCAAUAAGAGAGAACAAAACAGAAAAACAAAUCAGUUCCCCGGAAACUGGCAUUGCCAAUGCCUCUCCGGUGUCGGGUAAAGGUGCCAGGGCGCCGCUAUCUUGGCCGGAUACUUGCAACAAUGCCGCCGCCAUGGCCACGACCAGAAUGAACAUUUUAAUGUUAACUUGAGAGGUACCAAAAUGUGCCAUUUUUGUUAACAACAUUAAUUAAUACAGAAC